rnacentral:tRNA from 1 species
GGGGAUAUAGCUCAGUUGGUAGAGUGCUUGCCUCACACGCACAAGGCCCUGGGUUCAAUCCCCAGCACCA